AUACGGAGGAUCCGAGCGUUAUCCGGAUUUAUUGGGUUUAAAGGGUGCGCAGGCGGCCAUUUAAGUCAGCGGUUAAAUCGUGGGGCUCAACCCCAUUCUGCCGUUGAUACUGGGUGGCUUGAUUGCGGUCGAGGUUGGCGGAAUUCGUUGUGUAGCGGUGAAAUGCAUAGCUAUGACGAAGAACACCGAUUGCGUAGGCAGCUGACCAGACCGCAAAUGACGCUCAUGCACGAAAGUGCGGGGAUCGAACAGGAUUAGAUACCCUGGUAGUCCGCACAGUAAACGAUGAAUACUUGUUUUCGGCGAUAUAAUGUCGGAGGCAAAGCGAAAGCGAUAAGUAUUCCACCUGGGGAGUACGCCGGCAACGGUGAAACUCAAAUGAAUCGGCGGGG
rnacentral:rRNA from 1 species